AACAUUGUGCUUGCACAGAUGACGACCGGCGCACGGGUGCGUAACGCGUAUAGAACCUACCUUUUACAGAGGAAUAGCCUUUAGAAAUGAAGAUUAAUGCCUCAUGGUAUUGUAGACUGGCAUCAGUUUAUAAUUAAAGAUUUAUCGGUAAAAGAUGGCUAUGCGUCCUAUUAGUUAGUUGGUAAGGUAACGGCUUACCAAGACAGCGAUAGGUAGGGGUCCUGAGAGGGAGAUCCCCCACACUGGUACUGAGACACGGACCAGACUCCUACGGGAGGCAGCAGUGAGGAAUAUUGGACAAUGGAGGAGACUCUGAUCCAGCCAUGCCGCGUGUAGGAAGAAUGCCCUAUGGGUUGUAAACUACUUUUAUACAGGAAGAAACACUGGUAUGUAUACCAGCUUGACGGUAC
rnacentral:rRNA from 1 species